AGAGUUGAUCCUGGCUCAGGAUGAACGCUAGCGACAGGCUUAACACAUGCAAGUCGAGGGGCAGCAUGAUUUGUAGCAAUACAGAUUGAUGGCGACCGGCGCACGGGUGAGUAACGCGUAUGCAACUUACCUAUCAGGAGGGGGAUAGCCCGGCGAAAGUCGGAUUAAUACCCCAUAAAACAGGGGUCCCGCAUGGGAAUAUUUGUUAAAGAUUCAUCGCUGAUAGAUAGGCAUGCGUUUCAUUAGGCAGUUGGCGGGGUAACGGCCCACCAAACCGACGAUGGAUAGGGGUUCUGAGAGGAAGGUCCCCCACAUUGGUACUGAGACACGGACCAAACUCCUACGGGAGGCAGCA
rnacentral:rRNA from 1 species